UACGGAGGAUCCAAGCGUUAUCCGGAUUUAUUGGGUUUAAAGGGUGCGUAGGCGGCCUUUUAAGUCAGGGGUGAAAGACGGUAGCUUAACUAUCGCAGUGCCUUUGAUACUGAUGGGCUUGAAUACACUAGAGGUAGGCGGAAUGUGACAAGUAGCGGUGAAAUGCAUAGAUAUGUCACAGAACACCAAUUGCGAAGGCAGAUUACUAUGGUGCAAUUGACGCUGAGGCACGAAAGCGUGGGGAUCAAACAGG
rnacentral:rRNA from 1 species